rnacentral:rRNA from 1 species
UACGUAGGGGGCAAGCGUUGUCCGGAAUCAUUGGGCGUAAAGAGCGUGUAGGCGGCCAGACAGGUCCGUUGUGAAAACUCGAGGCUCAACCUCGAGACGUCGACGGAAACCGUCUGGCUAGAGUCCGGAAGAGGAGUGUGGAAUUCCGUGGUGUAGCGGUGAAAUGCGCAGAUAUCAGGAAGAACACCUAUGGCGAAGGCAGCACUCUGGGACGGUACUGACGCUGAGACGCGAAAGCGUGGGGAGCGAACCGG